rnacentral:rRNA from 1 species
UACGAAGGGGGCUAGCGUUGUUCGGAAUCACUGGGCUUACAGGGUGCGUAGGCGGCUUGUUAAGUAGGGUGUGAAAGCCCCCGGCUCAACCGGGGAAUUGCGCCCUAAACUGGCGAGCUGGAGUGAGAUAGGGGUGUGUGGAACUUCCGGUGGAGCGGUGAAAUGUGUUGAUAUCGGAAGGAACGCCGGUGGCGAAAGCGACACACUGGAUCUUGUCUGACGCUGAGGCACGAAAGCCAGGGGAGCGAACGGG